UCAUAGUGAUCCGGUGGUUCUGAAUGGAAGGGCCAUCGCUCAACGGAUAAAAGGUACUCCGGGGAUAACAGGCUGAUACCGCCCAAGAGUUCAUAUCGACGGCGGUGUUUGGCACCUCGAUGUCGGCUCAUCACAUCCUGGGGCUGAAGUAGGUCCCAAGGGUAUGGCUGUUCGCCAUUUAAAGUGGUACGCGAGCUGGGUUUAGAACGUCGUGAGACAGUUCGGUCCCUAUCUGCCGUGGGCGCUGGAGAACUGAGGGGGGCUGCUCCUAGUACGAGAGGACCGGAGUGGACGCAUCACUGGUGUUCGGGUUGUCAUGCCAAUGGCACUGCCCGGUAGCUAAAUGCGGAAGAGAUAAGUGCUGAAAGCAUCUAAGCACGAAACUUGCCCCGAGAUGAGUUCUCCCUGACUCCUUGAGAGUCCUGAAGGAACGUUGAAGACGACGACGUUGAUAGGCCGGGUGUGUAAGCGCAGCGAUGCGUUGAGCUAACCGGUACUAAUGAACCGUGAGGCUUAACCUUACAACGCCGAAG
rnacentral:rRNA from 1 species